UCUUGGUCAAUUUAGAGGAAGUAAAAGUCGUAACAAGGUUUCCGUAGGUGAACCUGCGGAAGGAUCAUUAACGAAUUAUAAUGCUGAGGUUGUAGCUGGCCUUUCAAUCGAGAGGCAUUGUGCACGCCUUGGUUAUUCCAAAUUCUUAUACCUCUGUGCACUUUACAUGGAAGCAUUUUACUUUAGUUGUAUGGAAAGGGGUUGACUCUUAACCGAGUUGAACCCAAGUAAGUCGACUGAGUGGAACACUUCUGUGGUUCAUACAUUUAUACCAGUCAGUUUAGAAUGUUAACACCGCGUAUAACGCAAACUAUAUACAACUUUCAGCAACGGAUCUCUUGGCUCUCGCAUCGAUGAAGAACGCAGCGAAAUGCGAUAAGUAAUGUGAAUUGCAGAAUUCAGUGAAUCAUCGAAUCUUUGAACGCACCUUGCACUCCUUGGUAUUCCGAGGAGUAUGCCUGUUUGAGUGUCAUGGUAUUCUCAAUUCUAAUAACUUUUGUUAUUCGGAAUUGGACUUGGAGGUUUUUUUGCCGGUGCUUCGGCGGCUGGCUCCUCUUAAAUGCAUUAGUGUGAAUCAAGUUACACAUUACUCAGUGUGAUAAUUAUCUGCGCUGUGUUUCAAUGUUGACUUUAUAAGUGUUCAUGCUUAUAGCCCGUCUGUUGACUCAGACACUUUACUAUGAAAUCUGACCUCA
rnacentral:rRNA from 1 species